UACUAUAACUAAAAAUCGAAUGAGUGCA
rnacentral:sRNA from 1 species